AUUGAACGCUGGCGGCAGGCCUAACACAUGCAAGUCGAGCGGAUGAAGGGAGCUUGCUCCUGGAUUCAGCGGCGGACGGGUGAGUAAUGCCUAGGAAUCUGCCUGGUAGUGGGGGAUAACGUCCGGAAACGGGCGCUAAUACCGCAUACGUCCUGAGGGAGAAAGUGGGGGAUCUUCGGACCUCACGCUAUCAGAUGAGCCUAGGUCGGAUUAGCUAGUUGGUGGGGUAAAGGCCUACCAAGGCGACGAUCCGUAACUGGUCUGAGAGGAUGAUCAGUCACACUGGAACUGAGACACGGUCCAGACUCCUACGGGAGGCAGCAGUGGGGAAUAUUGACAAUGGGCGAAAGCCUGAUCCGGCCAUGCCGCGUGUGUGAAGAAGGUCUUCGGAUUGUAAAGCACUUUAAGUUGGGAGGAAGGGCAGUAAGUUAAUACCUUGCUGUUUUGACGUUACCAACAGAAUAAGCACCGGCUAACUUCGUG
rnacentral:rRNA from 1 species